rnacentral:tRNA from 1 species
CUCUGAAACAGCUCAGUUCGUUGAGCGCCAGACUACAAAUCGUGGGGUCCUUGGUUCGAUCCCUGGUUCGGCGA